rnacentral:rRNA from 1 species
AGUGAACGCUGGCGGUAGGCCUAACACAUGCAAGUCGAACGGCAGCACAGUAAGAGCUUGCUCUUACGGGUGGCGAGUGGCGGACGGGUGAGGAAUACAUCGGAAUCUACUUUUUCGUGGGGGAUAACGUAGGGAAACUUACGCUAAUACCGCAUACGACCUACGGGUGAAAGCAGGGGAUCUUCGGACCUUGCGCGAUUGAAUGAGCCGAUGUCGGAUUAGCUAGUUGGCGGGGUAAAGGCCCACCAAGGCGACGAUCCGUAGCUGGUCUGAGAGGAUGAUCAGCCACACUGGCACUGGGACACGGUCCAGACUCCUACGGGAGGCAGCAGUGGGGAAUAUUGGACAAUGGGCGCAAGCCUGAUCCAGCCAUACCGCGUGGGUGAAGAAGGCCUUCGGGUUGUAAAGCCCUUUUGUUGGGCAAGAAAAGCAGCAGGUUAAUACCCCGCUGUUCUGACGGUACCCAAAGAAUAAGCACCGGCUAACUUCGUGC